AAAUUGUUGAAGCAGCAAGUAAUGUAGAAAUUGUUCUGAUUGAACUCAUCGUUCUACUCUUACCCACCUUCUUGCUACAGCACUUGACUAGUCUAAA
rnacentral:sRNA from 1 species